rnacentral:rRNA from 1 species
CACGUAGGGCGCAAGCGUUGUCCGGAAUUAUUGGGCGUAAAGAGCUCGUAGGCGGUCUGUUGCGUCCGCUGUGAAAACUCGGGGCUUAACCCCGAGCCUGCAGUGGAUACGGGCAGACUAGAGGUAGGUAGGGGGAGAAUGGAAUUCCCGGUGUAGCGGUGAAAUGCGCAGAUAUCGGGAGGAACACCGGUGGCGAAGGCGGUUCUCUGGGCAUUACCUGACGCUGAGGAGCGAAAGUGUGGGGGAGCGAACAGG